rnacentral:lncRNA from 1 species
GCAGGUGAAUGAGACUAGUCAAGAGUGGGGGACACACAGGGUUCCCUGAAGGGCAAGAGGGAGCACGCAGCCAUGGCCUGGAAUUCCGGAAAUGUUCUCGGUGGAGAAUGGCAAGAAGCGCUCUUGCAUUGUGGGCUUCCAGAGGUCCAGCUCUGCAUUUGGAGGAGAGAGAAGGGAGCAGCCACCGCCUGCCAAGACUGCGAGUGAUUCAUUCAACAUGGCAGUUCCCAUACUCAUCGCACAAGGCGUGGACGACACAAAGAGAUGGCUUGCCUGCAAGAGACCCAGCUGGUCCAGAGUCGGAGGCACAUUUCAUUUCUCUGGCCAGCUGGAGAGGCGGCCGGAGCAGACGAGGAGAUCGCCUCUAAUGUUCUAAAUGUCAAUAUGGUCCCUACUGGCUGACUCGCCAAGAUUUGAUCAGCAAAUUGGCCUGCGUGAUGUGUUCCCUGCAAUGCACGGUGUGUGUUUAAAUCUUUCAACAGUGUCAUGAAAGAAGCUGAAGAAC